rnacentral:tRNA from 1 species
GGGAGGGUAGCUCAGCCUGGUAGAGCGUUCUCCUUAUAAGAGAAAGGUCGUGGUGUUCAAAUCCCACCCCUCCUA